rnacentral:rRNA from 1 species
GGGUAACGGCCCAACAAGCCUGUAAUCGGUACGGGUUGUGGGAGCAAGAGCCCGGAGAUGGAUUCUGAGACAUGAAUCCAGGCCCUACGGGGCGCAGCAGGCGCGAAAACUUUACAAUGCGGGAAACCGCGAUAAGGGGACACCGAGUGCCACCAUAUUAUGUUGGCUGUCCGCAUGUGUAAAUAACAUGUGUUAGCAAGGGCCGGGCAAGACCGGUGCCAGCCGCCGCGGUAACACCGGCGGCCCGAGUGGUAGCCACUAUUAUUGGGUCUAAAGGGUCCGUAGCCGGUUUGAUCAGUCUUCCGGGAAAUCUGACAGCUCAACUGUUAGGCUUCUGGGGGAUACUGUCAGACUUGGGACCGGG